AGGUCUAUUAGCUGUGUUGCGGCUAUUUGAAGUUGGUUACUAUCCUUCUAUAGAGUCAGGGCCAAACUUUCCCUAUACCUAAGAUCGGUUUUAAAUUCGUGCAUAUCGACACACACAGUGAUGUACAUGCUUCUGCAGGAUUCUUUUAAAUUAUUCGGCAUUUGAAUCCACACCCCUGAGGAAGUCCCAGAAGGGACAAAACGCGUUGGUUUUUUCCAAGCAUUGUUUCCAUCCAUGCUACAUGCUGAUAAAGAAGGAAUCUUUCAAGCAUUGAGUCCAUCUAUGCUACAUGCUGAUAAAGGACUGUUUCAUUAAUAGAAUAU